rnacentral:lncRNA from 1 species
AUCUACCAGCUGUGUAAUCUUGGCAAGUUACUUCAUGUCUCUGAGCUUCGGUUUUGUCCUCUGUAGGAUGGAAUGGUCAGAGACAAUGCAAGCAGAGCCCUCAGGAAAAGAGAGAUUUCUAAUAAAAGACUGCUGCCAAACAGAAAUUUUCUAGUUCAGCUGGGAGUAUUCAGAAAAGGCCAGAGGACAGGAGAGGAAGGCAGAGGAAAACCAGCUGGGCUAUUAAAGGCCCCUCUUCACACAGAGCAGAGCAAGAGAAGGCAGGUUUCAGAGCGAAUCGCUGUCUACCAUCAAAGCAGACGGGGUUCCAAACAGACAUGGCCUGCUGCUGAACAGAUGAGAACUGUGGAUGAACACUGCUGCCUCCAGAGCUGUCAUGAGGCGAGGCCUCGGCCCACCUGACUCCCAAGUCACGAUCUUCCUGACAGGACAGCGUUCCAGUUCACCGAGGUGCUGUCCUGAGUGUGCAGCGGCAGCUGGGCAGGACAGGUGUGCAGCAUGGAUGGUUCCCGGGCCUCAGCCAGUGUCAGCAGUUGCUACGCAGUGAUUCCCACACCUCCUAUACUGGCAACUUCAGUGACCUUUUGCACCUGAAAAUUCUGGAAAAUAGUGAAUUGUAAAGACCCUGGACACCAAUCUUGGGCAGGUAGCAUGAGUGGUGGUAAGAGUCCAGGAGGGCCUGGUUUGACUCUUGGCUCUUCCAGGCACCAGGAGACCUGGGCCAGAUUACUCUCCACGACUGUUUCCUCAUCUAUAAAAUUGGGAUAAUAAUAGUAUCUUCUCCCCGGAAUUGUUGCAAGGAGUACAGGAGAUGGUGCAUGUUAAUCGCUCAAUCUGGCCCAUAAUAAAUGCUUGAUGUAUGAUAUUGUUAGCUGCUGC